GAUGAACGCUGGCGGCGUGCCUAAUACAUGCAAGUCGAGCGAACGGACGAGACGCUUGCUUCUCUGAUGUUAGCGGCGGACGGGUGAGUAACACGUGGAUAACCCACCUAUCAGUCUGGGAUCAUUUCGGGACACCGUCUCUAACACCGGAUAAUAUUUUGCACCGCAUGGUUCAAAAGUGAAAGACGGUCUUGCUGUCUCUUAUCGCUGGAUCCGCGCUGCAUUAGCUAGUUGGUACGGUAACGGCCUACCAAGGCAACGAUGCAUAGCCGACCUGAGAGAGUGAUCGGCCACACGGGAACUGAGACGGGGUCAUGGCGCCUAAGGGAGGCAGCAGUAGGGAAUCUGCCGCAGUGGGCGAGAGCCUGACGGAGCAACGCCGCGUGAGAGAUGGAGGUGUUCGGAGCGUAAAACUCGGUUAUGAGGGAAGAACAGAUGUGGAAGUAACUGUGCACAGCUUGACGGUACCUAAUCAGAAAGCCACGGCUAACUACGUG
rnacentral:rRNA from 1 species